rnacentral:rRNA from 1 species
GAUACAACUCUCGAUAACGGUUCUCUUGACCCUCGCAUCGACGAAGAAUGUAGCAAAAUGAGAUACGUGGUGUGAAUUGCAGAAUCUCACGAACCAUCAAGUCUUUGAAUGCAAGUUGCGCCUGAGGCCAUCUGACCGUGGGAACACCUGCCUGGGCAUCACGC